rnacentral:rRNA from 1 species
UGGGGAAUAUUGCACAAUGGGCGAAAGCCUGAUGCAGCAACGCCGCGUGAGUGAUGAAGGUCUUCGGAUUGUAAAGCUCUGUCUUUUGGGACGAUAAUGACGGUACCAAAGGAGGAAGCCACGGCUAACUACGUGCCAGCAGCCGCGGUAAUACGUAGGUGGCGAGCGUUGUCCGGAUUUACUGGGCGUAAAGGGUGCGUAGGCGGAUGUUUAAGUGAGAUGUGAAAUACCCGGGCUUAACUUGGGUGCUGCAUUUCAAACUG